CCUACGGGAGUCUGCAGUGGGGGAUAUUGCACAAUGGGGGAAACCCUGAUGCAGCGACGCCGCGUGUGUGAAGACGGUCCUCUGGAUUGUAAACCACUUUCCCCAGGGACGAAGAUGACGGUACUUGGGGAGGAAGCUCCGCCUAACUACGUCCCAGCAGCCGCGGUAAAACGUGGGGAGCGAGCGUUGUCCGGAAUUACUGGGUGUACAGGGACGGUAGGCGGGGAUGCAAGCUGGAGUGAAAAACUACCGGCUCAACUGGUAGUCGCACUCAAAACUGCAGCGCUUGAGUGAAGUAGAGGCAGGCGGAAUUCCUAGUGUAGCGGUGAAAUGCGUAGAUAUUAGGAGGAACACCAGUGGCGAAGGCGGCCUGCUGGGCUUUUACUGACGCUGAGGCUCGAAAGUGUGGGGAGCAAACAGGAUUAGAUACCCCUGUAGUC
rnacentral:rRNA from 1 species